CUAGUAACGGCGAGUGAAGAGGGAAGAGCCCAAGAUUAAAAGCUGGCGUCUUCGGCGUCCGCAUUGUAAUCUCAAGAAGCGUUUUCCGCUUCGGACCAUGCCCAAGUCCCUUGGAAAAGGGCAUCAUAGAGGGUGAUAAUCCCGUACAUGGCAUGGAGCGCCCGAAGCUUUGUGAUACGCUUUCUAAGAGUCGAGUUGUUUGGGAAUGCAGCUCAAAAUGGGUGGUAAAUGCCAUCUAAGGCUAAAUAUUGGGGAGAGACCGAUAGCGAACAAGUACAGUGAUGGAAAGAUGAAAAGAACUUUGAAAAGAGAGUUAAACAGUACGUGAAAUUGCCAAAAGGGAAGGGUAGGAGGUCAGAGAUGUGGCCUAGGAUUCAGCCUUGCUUUUGCUUGGUGUUUUUCCUAGAUUGCAGGCCAACGUCGGUUUUGGGCACUGGAGAAGGGUAAGAGGAAUGUGGCACCCCUCGGGGUGUGUUAU
rnacentral:rRNA from 1 species